UGAGAAGAGCACUGUCUACCUGCACACCUGUGUAAGCGCGCAUGUAUGUGUGUACUUUGUACCUACAUGUGCAUGUGAUUAUUUCUUCCAGUCGUGCUAUAUAAGUCUGAUGUUGAUGUUUUUGUUUUUUGUUUUUUUUUUUCCGGGGAAUUUGUCUCUCGCUCCGCUUGGCUACGUCAACGUAAAAAAAACAACACCUGGACGCCCACGAUACUGCGGCACGUGGACACUUGUCACGUGACCACGUGACGUGCUUGUGCUCAGCCACGGUCCUGACGGUGUACGAGGAGCCAGAGGCGCAGAAGAUGACGUUGAGUGUGUGUCUGCCGAGCAACAGCACCAACUCUGUCUCGCUGAUGGACGUGGCGGAUCCCUUACGUCGGCCGUGCAGCACCCAGGGUACCACCAGGCCAGUCAGACUGUGUGUUCGUGACACGGAGAUCGCCGCUGUCCGCAUCUGGUGCGCAGAAAAUUUCUGCCCCGAGCCGGCGCCUGUCGCCAACGCAUACCGCAACUAUGACCAGACGGGGCUACCUGGGAGCAAAGUCAUCUACACCUGUUACCUAUGGCUACCGACUGACCUUCAGGCAAUUUGCAGAGGACGUGCAUGAAGUAUGGACAGUACAACGGCACUUCACCCGUGUGCACGCUGGACUGUCGUCUGCUGCCCACAUUAGACAUACCUGUGGACAAAGUACUUCAUUCUUUGUCAAAUAUUAGUGGGAAGUCUUUGGCUUCAAUGAUUCGUCCAUUUUCUGUGACGCCACUUCCGGUCAGUGGGAGCUGAGGAAUGGCAGUGAAGUUAACGUCAGCACGUGUUCCUCCCCGCCAGCCAUCCCCCGCCUUAUGAUUGUAAACGAAACCAUCGCCAACAGCUCCUACAUGGUGGGCGACGUCGUCACCUACACCUGUGCUAAAGGUUUCUACGUGCAGGGCGGCCUCGCCAACUCGACCUGUGGGUUCGACUUUCAGUUUAGGAUGAACUCCAGUCUCAUCUGCAGCGGUACGUGUGCAGCAACCACCCGACUUUCCAACCCCAUCUAACACGUCUUCAUUCCUUGCAUAAACACUGUGCAUGGCAAAAGCAAAGAUCUACUAAUUCCUGUAUAGAAGGUCUCCAUGUUUAUCAUCAUGUUGACAAUAUUUUCCUUCUCA